rnacentral:rRNA from 1 species
GGUCAGAGGCGAUGAAGGACGUGGCAGCCUGCGAAAAGUAUCGGGGAGCUGGCAACAAGCUUUGAUCCGGUAAUGUCCGAAUGGGGAAACCCACCCGCUUGCGGGUAUCCUGCAGUGAAUACAUAGCUGCUGGAAGCGAACCUGGUGAACUGAAAUAUCUAAGUAACCAGAGGAAAAGAAAUCAACCGAGAUUCCGUAAGUAGCGACGAGCGAACGCGGACUAGCCCUUAAGCUGAUUUGGUUCUAGGAAAACGCUCUGGAAAGAGCGGCCAUAGAAGGUGAUAGCCCUGUAUCUGAAAGGGCCAUUUCAGUGAAGACGAGUAGGGCGGGGCACGUGAAACCCUGUCUGAACAUGGGGGGACCAUCCUCCAAGGCUAAAUACUACUGACCGACCGAUAGUGAACCAGUACCGUGAGGGAAAGGCGAAAAGAACCCCGGAGAGGGGAGUGAAAUAGAACCUGAAACCGUGUGCGUACAAGCAGUAGGAGCUCCGCAAGGAGUGACUGCGUACCUUUUGUAUAAUGGGUCAGCGACUUACUGUUCGUGGCAAGCUUAACCGUAUAGGGGAGGCGAAGGGAAACCGAGUCUGAUAAGGGCGCAUAGUCGCGGGCAGUAGACCCGAAACCGGGUGAUCUAGUCAUGCCCAGGGUGAAGGUGCGGUAACACGCACUGGAGGCCCGAACCCACUCCCGUUGCAAAGGUAGGGGAUGAGGUGUGAUUAGGAGUGAAAAGCUAAUCGAACCCGGAGAUAGCUGGUUCUCCUCGAAAGCUAUUUAGGUAGCGCCUCAUAUGUAUCCUCUCGGGGGUAGAGCACUGUUAUGGCUAGGGGGUCAUCGCGACUUACCAAACCAUUGCAAACUCCGAAUACCGAGACGGACUGUAUGGGAGACACACGGCGGGUGCUAACGUCCGUCGUGAAAAGGGAAACAACCCAGACCCACAGCUAAGGUCCCAAAUUUUGUGCUAAGUGGAAAACCAUGUGGAAAGGCACAGACAGCCAGGAGGUUGGCUUAGAAGCAGCCACCCUUUAAAGAAAGCGUAAUAGCUCACUGGUCGAGUCGGUCUGCGGGGAAGAUUUAACGGGGCUAAGCACAGAACCGAAGCUUGGGGUGCAUACUUCGUAUGCGCGGUAGAGGAGCGUUCCGUAAGCCGUUGAAGGUGGAUUGAGAAGUCUGCUGGAGGUAUCGGAAGUGCGAAUGCUGACAUGAGUAACGAUAAUGCGGGUGAAAAACCCGCACGCCGAAAGCCCAAGGUUUCCUUGCGCAACGUUAAUCGGCGCAGGGUGAGUCGGCCCCUAAGGCGAGGACGAAAGUCGUAGUCGAUGGGAAGCAGGUUAAUAUUCCUGCACCUCGCGUAAGUGCGAUGGAGGGACGGAGAAGGUUAGGUGUACCAGGCGUUGGUUGUCCUGGGGAAAGGCGGUAGGUUUGGAUCUUUGGCAAAUCCGGGAUCCUCUAAGACCGAGCACCGAGACGAGCCUUUAUGGCAAAGUCACUGAUACCACGCUUCCAGGAAAAGCUCCUAAGCUUCAGCUUACGCAGACCGUACCGUAAACCGACACAGGUGGGUAGGAUGAGAAUUCUCAGGCGCUUGAGAGAACUCGGGUGAAGGAACUAGGCAACAUGGCACCGUAACUUCGGGAGAAGGUGCACCCUUUUUGGUGGCUCGUGCGAGCUAUAGCUGAAGAGGGUCGCAGUAACCAGGCCGCUGCGACUGUUUAUCAAAAACACAGCACUCUGCAAACACGAAAGUGGACGUAUAGGGUGUGACGCCUGCCCGGUGCUGGAAGGUUAAUUGAUGGGGUCAGCCGCAAGGCGAAGCUCUUGAUCGAAGCCCCAGUAAACGGCGGCCGUAACUAUAACGGUCCUAAGGUAGCGAAAUUCCUUGUCGGGUAAGUUCCGACCUGCACGAAUGGCGUAAUGAUGGCCAGGCUGUCUCCACCCGAGACUCAGUGAAAUUGAACUCGCUGUGAAGAUGCAGUGUACCCGCGGCAAGACGGAAAGACCCCGUGAACCUUUACUAUAGCUU